rnacentral:ribozyme from 1 species
UGCCCAGCAACUCCUAUCCCUAUCUCCUCGUGGUACUGGUCGGCUGGGGUAUGAGCCACCUUAGAAAAGAUCUGGUAACCAACGCAGUGGAAACUUUGUUUGUAUGCUGACAGGGAAAG